GACGAACGCUGGCGGCGUGCUUAACACAUGCAAGUCGAACGGAAAGGCCUGCUUUCCCUUGUGGAUUGCGGGUACUCGAGUGGCGAACGGGUGAGUAACACGUGAGUGAUCUGCCCCCAACUUGGGUAUAAGCCUGGGAAACUGGGUCUAAUUCCCGAUAGGACUGCAGGGUGGUGCCUGUGGUGGAGAACGAUUUUCUAGUGGUUGGGGAUGAGCUCGCGGCCUAUCAGCUUGUUGGUGGGGUAAUGGCCUACCAAGGCGGCGACGGGUAGCCGGCCUGGGAGGGUGGACGGCCACAUUGGGACUGAGAUACGGCCCAGACUCCUACGGGAGGCAGCAGUGGGGAAUAUUGCACAAUGGGCGGAAGCCUGAUGCAGCGACGCCGCGUGGGGGAUGACGGCCUUCGGGUUGUAAACUCCUUUCGACCGCGAGGAAGCCACCUGGUUGGAAGGGUGGUGACGGUAGUGGUAGAAGAAGCACCGGCUAACUACGUG
rnacentral:rRNA from 1 species